rnacentral:tRNA from 1 species
GUUUUAAUAAUUUAAAAAAAAUACUGAUCUUGUAAAUCAGAAAUAAGAACCCUCUUUUAAAACU